GCCUUGACUCCAAGUGGGAGGGGGAAGCCGUAAGGUGGGUGUGAAACUGGAAAACCCCUCAGGGUCCAUCAGGAUGAAGUAAGUCAAAUUGCCACUGUUGGCCCAGCUUUGCAACCGAGAAUUCAAAAGGCUGUUACCAUCGAUGUGUGCCCCUGGUGUUGACUCGUACACAGACUGUCAUUUCCAGCUGCCUCCGGUGCCAAGCAAACCACUCUUCAGAUAUUGACCGAAUCGAGACGGAAGGUCACGGCCAUUGGCCAUUGCCGGCAGCAGGCCAGCCCUUCUGGAAACUCUGGAUUUUGAGAGACUGUCUGCAAUGUUCACUUUGCUCACUCAGGAGACUCACACCCCACAACUACUGCCUUCUCUAUCUAGGAUCUCCCGGGGACUGAGUCCAGCUAACACUAGCACUAUCCAGGACCCAUGGACUAGCUGAAAUCCUGAGCCCAGAACAAAGCCUUGAGGCUCAAGUCACCAACAUCAGAGAGGCACCCAUGAGACAAUGGCCUCUGCUCCUGCUCUCCUCAGAGUGACAUCGCAAGGAGGCGUGGGAAGGAUGGACUAUGAAUCCCUGACGGCAGAUCCUUAGUGUGUACUGUGUUCAUCACUGGUAUGAAAUAAAUCCUUGGUUGAGUCUGUAGUUCCCAGCCAAGGAACACUGAGAGGGUG
rnacentral:lncRNA from 1 species